CACGGGUCGGCCUGAGUAUGAGCCUGAUGCUGCACUCCAAACUGAGCGUCGUUGAACGAUUACUUCACGUCAAUAUGAGGACUAGCCUGAUGCUGCUGCAGUUCACAAUAACCUUCCCGCUUGAAGAAGCAACUUUACUAGAAGAUUACUUCAGAAAGCACUAAAGCAAAGGCUGCUUUUGAGAUUACGUUCUUGGUUCAGAAUAUUCCCAGCUUGUAGCUCAUGACAUACAAUGACAUAAUAGGUUCUUAUCUUCAAACCUUUUUCGUUCGGACAUUGAGUUGAUUUUGAUCCCAAGGAAGAUUGUGUGUAGCUAAGUGGUGCGAGCAUUUGUUUGGACUCGGCAUCGUCUUGGCUUAUGCUCUGUUGUAUAUGAAGGGUUUAAUAGUCUCAGAUAUUAGCUGAAAAAUAUUGUCAAGAUGAAGUCAGAUGCAAAAGGAAACUAUGCUUGUCGUAUCAAACCUCAGUAUACAGCUGUACAGGCUACAGUAUCAAUGAAGGCGAUCAGCAGCAAGCAAAAGAUGCCUUCUUAUCCCUCUCAUCGCUCCCCCAGCUUUCCACCAGUAAAAACGGAAAAGAUAUUAUGUUAACCCAAAUUUUUAAGCGUAAGAACCUAAUGUCCGUAAUAGCUUUUGAGAUCCACUCUAUUAACAGCUGUAUCUUUUCUGCUGCCCUUUUCUGACCAUGAUAGAGAAUGCAUUAUGCCGGAAGUAUGCAUUGUUUACCAUCAACAUGCUUAAACAGUUGAACUUUGGACUUACUCACAGAUGCAAGAGGCAACCCUAACUUUCGACGGCCCAUCUGUGUCAUGGGCAUCUUUUUCGACCAACUGCAAUCCAAGUUCAUAUCCUCUUGCACCAGUGUUCAAUGGGUUGCAGCAAACCAGGACUUUCUGUUGGAGUAUG